rnacentral:rRNA from 1 species
UACGGAGGGGGCUAGCGUUGUUCGGAAUCACUGGGCGUAAAGCGCACGUAGGCGGAUCUUUAAGUCAGGGGUGAAAUCCCGAGGCUCAACCUCGGAACUGCCUUUGAUACUGGAGAUCUCGAGUCCGGGAGAGGUGAGUGGAACUGCGAGUGUAGAGGUGAAAUUCGUAGAUAUUCGCAAGAACACCAGUGGCGAAGGCGGCUCACUGGCCCGGUACUGACGCUGAGGUGCGAAAGCGUGGGGAGCAAACAGG